rnacentral:tRNA from 1 species
GGGGUAGUGGCUCAGUGGUAGAGCGCGCUUGCUAGCAUGUGUGAGGUACUGGGUUCAAUUCUCAGCACCACA